ACCUCCAAGUGUAAGUGGGGCUCUCCAGCACACCUGGAUGUGGAGGUGUGAUGCAGAGUGGUGGCUGCUCGUGACACUCAUUUCACCCCUUUCUGUGCAGGUGCCAGAAGCCCAGGAAGCACACAUCAAGGCUCGCUUGCCAGCGGGGUGCUGCCAAUAAAAUGUAGUCACGUGGAAUUUGGGAUGUGGAAAGGAGGUAGAAGUCAUCCUUUCCUCCCCCAUAGCAGCAGGUGUGCAGGCUCUGGUGGUCAGCUGGACUCCAUACUCCCCCACCAGUCACCAGCCUGGGGACCGUGGGGCUGCAAGGACCUCAGCAGCAGUUUCCCAAGUUUCCUGACUUCUUCCAUCCUCUGGAAAUCAGCUGUGAGCUAUCAGCUUCCCAGUUUGCACAAUUCAUCAAGAAAUUAUGCGGGGUCACUGGCACAAAUGAUGAGGCAUCUCCUGGAAGCUUAACUUCUUAUCCAUCCCAUCUCUUGGACAGAUGAUGCCAGUUAAUUACUUUGAAUGCUCCUCCACCAAGCCAAGGCCAGACUCCUGCAAUCAUAGGAUGGCAACACCACCUCUAAAGCACAGAACUUCAGCCUUUGCUUCGGAAGUGGCACCAUGGUCUCUUCAUUUUCCCUUUCUUCAAGGCAAGUUUGAAAACCACUGCUUUAAAGAAAAUGGAUACUCCCCUUACCAAGCAGAAAGUAGGAUUUUGGAAACUGAUGCAAGGGAAGCAAAAAAGAUGCCUCAGGAGGCACGAUUACAACAGGAUUGAUGCAAACGGAAGCUGAAGCUUAACCAAAGACAUUAAUGUACGCCCACAAAAGAAACUGCUAAGGAAGUCAAGUGGUCUGCAUGAAUUCUGAAGAAAAAUGGAGAACCAAAGAACAAAAUUUGUCAAUGAAUUUCCAGCACAGUCUAGGUUAAGGGAGUGAAUUUCUUGACUGAAUGGCACAGACUCUGUACCACCUGAUUGGCUGUUACCUUAAUGGAGGAAUUAUAUUACAAUGUAUAGGUACUUUAAUUAGAAUGACCUGGCAGUUACUGAGGCAAAAUUUUCCGCUCCUUUGUAUUCUGUAAUACAAGAAGGAUCUACAUGGAUGUUCUGUUCUCUGAACUGUCUGGAUGAACCGGUCAACGGCACUCAUCAUACCUUAGUUUUUAAAUCUGCAUUGUGGUCAUAAUCUGUUAUUUAAUUAAUUUCUCGUAUUUUUAAUAAAAACUUUGCCUAUAUAUUUUAGACAGAAAUUGCCUUACUUUGCUGAAAUGCUGAGAAAUCCUAGACAGUUUUCAAGGCUGGGCUCAAAUGUCACCUCUACUACCCUUUGCUGUGCCUCCUGGCACUGUGCUUCUGACACUUUGUACGGUCCUCCAUGACAGCGUGAGCACAAUUAUAUUACAGGCAAUUACUCAUGCCCCCCUGGCUCAUCUGUUGACUCCUUUAGAGCACAGAUCAUGUUUUAUUUAUUGUAGCAACUAAAACAAUUAUUUGUUCAACCAAUGACACCCAUAAACAAAACUACCUGCCGAGGGCAGAGAUGCAGGGGUAAAGUCAUGCCAAGAUUGAACCCCAGAAACCACUGUAGAUUUUUCAGAGUUGACUCCUACGUUUUCAGACUUCUAGACUUCAAAAAACAACUCUCUAUAAAAUGUAUGUUUCUAGAAGGAAGAAGAGUA
rnacentral:lncRNA from 1 species